GGGGGUGGAUGAGGCCUGGUGGCCUUCCCGGUCUUCAAAACCGGUCGCGGGGCGAGAAGCCCUGGGUGGGUUCGAUUCCCACACACUCCCGCCA
rnacentral:tRNA from 1 species